rnacentral:snoRNA from 1 species
GAACCUGAAACUUAGAACAUGUUUUAAAGAUUUGAAACAUUUACCAGAUGAUGGAGUGUGUUCUGAGAACAGACUGAGGCUG